rnacentral:tRNA from 1 species
GCAGGAGUGUCCGAGUGGUCAAAGGAGCAGGGUUUAGGCCCCUGUGCUUAGUGCUUACGCAGGUUCGAAUCCUGCCUCCUGCA